AAAGAGGGAGGAAAAACAACAAAACCUAAGCACUAAGCAAGAACACACAGUUUCUGACACAACCAGCCUGUGGUCCUGGCUCUGUCCAAGUUGAAAGAGCUAUGGCAUUUCUUGCCGAAGAGCUCAGCCUCUUAACUCUUCUUCCUGCCCAUUGCUGAGCAAUGCUUUUCUUUGCUUCUUUUUUUCUUUUUCCACUUCAAAAUCAGCCACGAUGGGUUUUGAAUGGACUGACACCUUCUCCCUUCUCAGCCCUGGGAGCCGAUUUGGUCAGGAUUGUGGCAAACCGGUAUUUCAGGUCCCCUUGGCAACCCCCAGUGCACUGUCUCCUGAGGAUUGAGCUUCUAAGGGACUGCGAGGAGACAAGACUUCUGGGGCUUUGAACACAGCACCAGGAAGGUCUACAUAGCUAUCCACC
rnacentral:lncRNA from 1 species